rnacentral:rRNA from 1 species
UACGUAGGGAGCAAGCGUUGUCCGGAAUCAUUGGGCGUAAAGCGCGCGUAGGUGGCCUCAUAAGUCCGCUGUGAAAGUCAAGGGCUCAACCUUUGAAAGCCGGUGGAUACUGUGAGGCUAGAGUACGGAAGAGGCGAGUGGAAUUCCUGGUGUAGCGGUGGAAUGCGCAGAUAUCAGGAGGAACACCAAUAGCGAAGGCAGCUCGCUGGGACGUUACUGACACUGAGGCGCGAAAGCGUGGGGAGCGAACAGG